rnacentral:rRNA from 1 species
AUUGAACGCUGGCGGCAGGCCUAACACAUGCAAGUCGAGCGGCUGAAGGGAGCUUGCUCCUGGAUUCAGCGGCGGACGGGUGAGUAAUGCCUAGGAAUCUGCCUGGUAGUGGGGGAUAACGUCCGGAAACGGGCGCUAAUACCGCAUACGUCCUGAGGGAGAAAGUGGGGGAUCUUCGGACCUCACGCUAUCAGAUGAGCCUAGGUCGGAUUAGCUAGUUGGGGGGGUAAAGGCCUACCAAGGCGACGAUCCGUAACUGGUCUGAGAGGAUGAUCAGUCACACUGGAAGUGAGACACGGUCCAGACUCCUACGGGGGCAGCAGUGGGGAAUAUUGGACAAUGGGCGAAAGCCUGAUCCAGCCAUGCCGCGUGUGUGAAGAAGGUCUUCGGAUUGUAAAGCACUUUAAGUUGGGAGGAAGGGCAGUAAGUUAAUACCUUGCUGUUUUGACGUUACCAAAAGAAUAAGCACCGGCUAACUUCGUG